rnacentral:rRNA from 1 species
UACGUAGGGUGCAAGCGUUAAUCGGAAUUACUGGGCGUAAAGCGUGCGCAGGCGGUUGUGCAAGACCGAUGUGAAAUCCCCGGGCUUAACCUGGGAAUUGCAUUUGUGACUGCACGGCUAGAGUGUGGUAGAGGGGGAUGGAAUUCCGCGUGUAGCAGUGAAAUGCGUAGAUAUGCGGAGGAACACCGAUGGCGAAGGCAAUCCCCUGGGCCUGCACUGACACUCAUGCACGAAAGCGUGGGGAGCAAACAGG